CUGAGAUAAGGAAUGCUCCAGAGAGGAGCACAAAAAAGGGGUUACAGACAGGAGUGUGGGUGCUCCCUCCCAAAGGCUCCACCGGAGUCAUUGCUUUCCCAUAGUUGCAGAAUGGAGGCCUCACCUAAGUCUCACCAGCAACGCACUCUAGCCUUGCUCUGCACAGCAGUCAGGGCAGAACCGCACACGUGUGGCAUGGAAUGACUAGAUACUCAGGGCAACCCUGGACAUAAAGCCAAACGCCUGCAAAACACGGAGUCCAGAGCAGUUAGUUACCUGCCCCGCCCUGCGCUCUGGAGCUGGGAGACCCCAGAGCCGCCCAACCAGAUAAAGGCUUGCUGGCCUGCUGGGGAAGCCUGAGAAAUCACAGGGGAAGAAGGGCUGCUCUCUGCAAGCCAGGGCACCAGGGCAGCAGACUGCGAGGUGGGGAAGCAAUCUGGCUCAAAUAAACAAACCAGG
rnacentral:lncRNA from 1 species